GGGGGUUGCAAUACUUCGCACCCCGGAGCGGGGACGGGGGGGGAUGGAAGCGGCAGCCCCGGGCCCGGCGAGGGGCGGCCCGGCACCGUCCUGCCCGGCUUGCUUCUCCUCGCAGCAGACGGCGCCGCGGCCGCAACUCCGAUAGAUCCCUUCCCCCUUCCUUGGAUGUCAAUUAUUUCUGCAGAAAAUUUCCAAGAGAGUUGUGGCUUCCUCCCUCCUGUAUCCUGUUGGCCACAUAGUUUUUGACCUUACUGAGUUGCUGAGAAAUGUGAAUUACAAGAUGCCUCCAUUUUGAUAGUAGCCAGUGUCUUCAGUGAUAUUCCUCAGUUUACCAAAGUCUGAUUGCAGAGGCUUGUGGUGGGGAGGCCAAUGCUACAAGCUCCAAAUCACAUCUUGCCAUUAAAGGAAGAGGUCCUGGUGCAGAGGAGGCUUUUAUCAAGACAGGAUAAGACACAGUCAUUGAAAUCCUAGAGAACAAACUCAGUAAGUAAACAAGCCAGUUUCUACAGCAGUGAAGACAUCCAAAUGGCUGCUCCAAGUCUUCCAGGCACUCCACAGACUUUCCUCCAGAUGGAAAAGACCAAUAAAGUACUGAAAACUCUGAUGGAGAGG